UACGUAGGGGGCAAGCGUUGUUCGGAAUGACUGGGCGUAAAGGGUGCGUAGGCGGUGUAGCAAGUUAGAAGUGAAAUACCUAGAGCUUAACUCAGGUGCUGCUUCUAAAACUGCUAUACUUGAGUGCAGUAGAGGAAAGUGGAAUUCCUAGUGUAGCGGUGGAAUGCGUAGAUAUUAGGAGGAACAUCAGUGGCGAAGGCGACUUUCUGGACUGUAACUGACGCUGAGGCACGAAAGUGCGGGGAGCAAACAGG
rnacentral:rRNA from 1 species